AUGACAAAGACAAUGUUGGUUGUGUUCUUCAGUGCCCUGUUGGUUUGCUCUUUAUUUACACAAGGUGUUGAUGCCAGAAGUAUUGGUUAUGGUGCAAUGAGAAGAAACACUAUUCUAUGCAGCAAAAAAAAUCCUUUAUUCUGUAAACGAAUUCCAGCCAACCCAUAUAAUAGAGGAUGUGAAAAAAUAAACAGGUGUCGCGGUAAUAAAAGAGGAUAA